GAAACGUGUGAAACAGACCUAUGUAAGACCCUUAUAGGGACAUGCUCACUGACUACAGAGGCAAAAACGAAGAUGUGGAUAGCUUGGUGUGUGGCCAUGUACUUCUUUGGAGCAAGAGCUAAAAUCACUCAAACUUCAAGUCUUGUGCUGAAAGAAGAUGAGAAAGCUACUCUGGCAUGCAGUCAAAAUGAUAAUCACAAUUCCAUGUACUGGUAUCUGCAGCUGCCAGGGAAAGGGCUGCAAUUGGUCUAUUAUUCCUUUGGUGAAAAUCAAGAAACAGAGGGUGAUAUUCACAAUGGAUACAAAGCUAAGCGGCCAAAAAUUGCAGAAUUUUAUUUGGAUAUUUUAUCUGUGAAGAUGAACCAUUCAGCUAUCUAUUUCUGUGGCAGCAGUUUGGACACACUACUUCAAAGUCACGUGCUUUCUUUACAUAAACUUCUAUCCUUUCCAGCAUCUUCCGUCAGAAGCGAGCCACUCUCAACACAGGAAAAGCCUAAUCACAAACCAAAUGCUGCCGAGAAGUUGGAACAAGAUAGGCAGAAUAGGUCUUUGGAGUGCAGGCAACUUCAUGAUGUUCCUCAUUGA